rnacentral:rRNA from 1 species
UACGUAGGGUCCGAGCGUUGUCCGGAAUUAUUGGGCGUAAAGGGCUCGUAGGCGGUCCGUCACGUCGGGAGUGAAAACUCAGGGCUCAACCCUGAGCGUGCUUCCGAUACGGGCGGACUAGAGGUAUGCAGGGGAGAACGGAAUUCCUGGUGUAGCGGUGGAAUGCGCAGAUAUCAGGAGGAACACCGGUGGCGAAGGCGGGUCUCUGGGCAACAACUGACGCUGAGGAGCGAAAGCGUGGGGAGCGAACAGG